AGCUACCACUUUGCUCUCUUUCAC
rnacentral:siRNA from 1 species